GGGAAUGUGGCUUAGUGGUAAAGUGCUUGCGUAGCAUGCAUGAAGCACUGGGUUCAAUUCCUCAAUACCA
rnacentral:tRNA from 1 species